rnacentral:lncRNA from 1 species
AUGGGGGGACCUCAGGGUGGGGGAACGUUCCAGAAUAAACCCGAACUCUGUUUGCACACCAUGGAAUGUCGGGGGACCCACAAAGGCCAAAUGUUCCAGUGCUGCUCCAGUCACAGGGAUCAGGAUUUAUUCCACAUUCCACUCCUGGGGAGGGUUCCUGAGGAACCAGGGAUCCUCCCAAGAAACAACCACAGCAUCACUCCAGGAACGAUGACCAGGAUUUAUUCCACAUCCCUCUCCUGGAGGAUGAUCCCAGAGCAGAUCCCAGCGCUGGGGGCACGGGGAUUCCCCCCAAGGGAUGAACCCAAGGAUUUGUUCCACAUCCUGCUCCAGGGGAUGCCCUGGAUGCCCUCCCAGGGCAGAUCCCAGCAGGACUCCAGGUCCGGGCAGCAAGUCUGGGGCUGCCUCUCCUCCCACCGCUCCGGGCGAGCAGAAUUCCCGGCUCCAAGCCCUCGGGAGCCUUGGGCUAAAUGGACUCGAUCUGUUUGCGGACCUUCUCCAGCGCCCGCCGGUCCAGCACGCGCUGCCGCAGCACCACCAGCGCCGCCGCCGCCGCCGCCACGCCCAGAGCGGAGCCCACGAAGCGCCAGAACCGCUGCGCCUCCAGCGCGGCCGAGCGGCAGCUGCGGAGCACGGCACGGGGGGAGGAUGGAUGCCCAAUCCCCCGGGAAUUCCCGGCCCCAACCCCCGGGAAUUCCGCGGAGCACAACCCAGAGGAAUGAAUACCCCAACACCUGGGAAUUCCCAGCCUUGAUCCCGCUGGAAUUCCCAGCUCCAAUCCCACGGGAGGUCUCAGCCCCCAUCACCCUGGAAUUCUUAGCUCCAAUCCCACAGGAGUUCCCAACGCUCAUCCCCUUGGAAUUCCCAGCCUCGAUCCCUGGGGAAUUCCCAGCUCAAUCCCACAGGAAUUCCCAGCCCCGAUCCUCAUUAAUUCCCAGACCCGAUCACUCCCGGCCCCGAUCCACCGGGAAUUUCCAGUCCCGAUCCCCGUUAAUUCCCAGCCCCGAUCCCUGCCGGUCCCACCUCUUGUACUCAUCCCGGUGGGACGAGGCGCAGUUGAUCUUCUCGAUGAAGCCGGUGGGGCCGCACGCCGGGAUCGUUUUCUGCCAGCGGGGGCACGGAGGGCUCGGUCACGGAGAGACCCCCGGGGCAACGGGGGGACCCCGACCCCCGCGGCCGCCCGUGGGGACCCGCACUCACCAUCUCGAAGCCGGAGCACCGCGUGCACUCCUGGGCAACCACGAACUGCUC